AUUGAACGCUGGCGGCAUGCUUUACACAUGCGAGUCGAACGGCAGCGCGGGCUUCGGCCUGGCGGCGAGUGGCGAACGGGUGAGUAAUGCAUCGGAACGUGCCCAGUAGUGGGGGAUAGCCCGGCGAAAGCCGGAUUAAUACCGCAUACGACCUGAGGGUGAAAGCGGGGGACCGAAAGGCCUCGCGCUAUUGGAGCGGCCGAUGUCGGAUUAGCUAGUUGGUGGGGUAAAGGCUUACCAAGGCGACGAUCCGUAGCUGGUCUGAGAGGACGACCAGCCACACUGGGACUGAGACACGGCCCAGACUCCUACGGGAGGCAGCAGUGGGGAAUUUUGGACAAUGGGGGCAACCCUGAUCCAGCCAUGCCGCGUGCGGGAAGAAGGCCUUCGGGUUGUAAACCGCUUUUGUUCGGGAAGAAAUCCUCUGGGCUAAUACCCCGGGGGGAUGACGGUACCGGGAGAAUAAGCACCGGCUAACUACGUG
rnacentral:rRNA from 1 species